AGUGAACGCUGGCGGUAGGCCUAACACAUGCAAGUCGAACGGCAGCACAGUAAGAGCUUGCUCUUACGGGUGGCGAGUGGCGGACGGGUGAGGAAUACAUCGGAAUCUACUUUUUCGUGGGGGAUAACGUAGGGAAACUUACGCUAAUACCGCAUACGACCUACGGGUGAAAGCAGGGGAUCUUCGGACCUUGCGCGAUUGAAUGAGCCGAUGUCGGAUUAGCUAGUUGGGGGGGUAAAGGCCCACCAAGGCGACGAUCCGUAGCUGGUCUCAGAGGAUGGUCAGCCACACUGGAACUGAGACACGGUCCAGACUCCUACGGGAGGCAGCAGUGGGGAAUAUUGCACAAUGGGCGCAAGCCUGAUCCAGCCAUACCGCGUGGGUGAAGAAGGCCUUCGGGUUGUAAAGCCCUUUUGUUGGGAAAGAAAAGCAGCAGGUUAAUACCCCGCUGUUCUGACGGUACCCAAAGAAUAAGCACCGGCUAACUUCGUG
rnacentral:rRNA from 1 species